rnacentral:rRNA from 1 species
UACGUAGGGUGCGAGCGUUAAUCGGAAUUACUGGGCGUAAAGCGUGCGCAGGCGGUUUUGUAAGCCAGAUGUGAAAUCCCCGGGCUUAACCUGGGAAUGGCAUUUGGGACUGCAAGGCUGGAGUUUGGCAGAGGAGACUGGAAUUCCUGGUGUAGCAGUGAAAUGCGUAGAUAUCGGGAGGAACACCUGUGGCGAAAGCGGCUCACUGGACCAUAACUGACGCUGAUGCACGAAAGCUGGGGGAGCAAACAGG